CCGACACAGGUGGUCGGGUAGAGAAUACCAAGGCGCUUGAGAGAACUCGGGUGAAGGAACUAGGCAAAAUAGAACCGUAACUUCGGGAGAAGGUUCGCUCUUGAUGGUGAAGUCCCUUGCGGAUGGAGCUGUCGGGAGUCGCAGUGACCAGAUGGCUGGGACUGUUUAUCAAAAACACAGCACUCUGCAAACACGAAAGUGGACGUAUAGGGUGUGACACCUGCCCGGUGCCGGAAGGUUAAUUGAUGGGGUUAGCGCAAGCGAAGCUCUUGAUCGAAGCCCCGGUAAACGGC
rnacentral:rRNA from 1 species